rnacentral:rRNA from 1 species
UACGUAGGGAGCAAGCGUUGUCCGGAAUCAUUGGGCGUAAAGCGCGCGUAGGCGGCCCCGUAAGUCCGUUGUGAAAGUCAAAGGCUCAACCUUUGAAAGCCGAUGGAUACUGUGGGGCUAGAGUCCGGAAGAGGCGAGCGGAAUUCCUGGUGUAGCGGUGGAAUGCGCAGAUAUCAGGAGGAACACCAAUAGCGAAGGCAGCUCGCUGGGACGGUACUGACGCUAAGGCGCGAAAGCGUGGGGAGCGAACAGG